UACGUAGGCAGCGAGCGUUGUUCGGAGUUACUGGGCGUAAAGAGUGCGUAGGCGGUUUUCUAAGUUUGGUGUGAAAUCUCCCGGCUUAACUGGGAGGGUGCGCCGAAGACUGGAAGGCUUGAGUAUGGGAGAGGUAAGCGGAAUUCCUGGUGUAGCGGUGAAAUUCGUAGAUAUUCGGAGGAACACCAGUGGCGAAGGCGGCCCACUGGCUCGACACUGACGCUGAGGUGCGAAAGCGUGGGGAGCAAACAGG
rnacentral:rRNA from 1 species